UACGUAGGGGGCAAGCGUUGUCCGGAAUCACUGGGCGUAAAGCGCGUGUAGGCGGCCUGCUAAGUCUGAUGUGAAAGCCCGAGGCUCACCCUCGGAAGUGCAUUGGAAACUGGCAGACUGGAGUCCCGGAGAGGAGGGUGGAAUUCCUGGUGUAGCGGUGAAAUGCGUAGAUAUCAGGAGGAACACCGGUGGCGAAGGCGGCCCUCUGGACGGUGACUGACGCUGAGACGCGAAAGCGUGGGGAGCAAACGGG
rnacentral:rRNA from 1 species